rnacentral:rRNA from 1 species
AAUCAACGCUGGCGGCGUGCCUCAGACAUGCAAGUCGAACGAUUAAAGCUCUCUUCGGAGAGUGUAUAGAGUGGCGCACGGGUGAGUAACACGUAAGUAAUCUACCCUCGAGUGGAGAAUAACAACCGGAAACGGUUGCUAAUACCGCAUAAUGCAGCGGCACCGCAAGGUGACAGUUGUUAAAGAUUUAUCGCUUGAGGAGGAGCUUGCGGCAGAUUAGCUAGUUGGUAGGGUAACGGCUUACCAAGGCUACGAUCUGUAACCGGUCUAAGAGGACGGUCGGUCACACUGACACUGAAUAACGGGUCAGACUCCUACGGGAGGCAGCAGUCGGGAAUUUUGGGCAAUGGGCGAAAGCCUGACCCAGCAACGCCGCGUGAAGGAUGAAGUAUUUCGGUAUGUAAACUUCGAAAGAAUAGGAAGAAUUAAUGACGGUACUAUUUAUAAGGUCCGGCUAACUACGUG